UUCCUGUGUCUCCACGUGUCUUCCUGUGUCUCCAGGUGUCUUCCUUUGUCUUCAGGUGUCUUCCUGUGUCUCCACGUAUAGUCCUUUGUCUCCAGGUGUCUUCCUGUGUCCCCAGGUGUCUUCCUGUGUCUCCACGUUUCGUCCUGUGUCUUCAGGUGUCUUCAGGUGUCUUCCUGUGUCUUCAGGUGUCUUCCUGUGUCUCCAUGUGUCUUCCUGUGUCUCCAGAUGUCUCCCUGUGUCUCCAGUUGUCUCCCUGUGUCUCCAGGUGUCUUCAGGUGUCUUCCUGUGUCUCUAGGUGUCUUCCGUUGUGUCCAGGUGUCUCCAGGUGUCUUCCUGUGUCUCCAUGUGUCUCCAGGUGUCUUCCUGUGUCUCCAGGUGUCUUCCUGUGUCUCCAGGUGUCUCCAUGUGUCUCCAGGGGUCUUCAAGUGUCUCCAGGGGUCUUCAAGUGUCUCCAGGGGUCUUCAAGUGUCUCCAGGGGUCUUCCUGUGUCUCCAGGUGUCUCCAGGUGUCUUCCUGUGUCUCCAGGUGUCUCCAGGUGUCUUCCUGUGUCUCUUCCUAUGUGAAGAGUUGUUCUGAUAAAACCCCAGAACCUUUCUUCCUCUCCGUUCAUCAUCCUCAUUUUAAAUCAGCUUUAUCACUCGGCCAAUCAGAGACCCCGACAGAGAUGCUGCAGCUUUAAACAGACCAAUCAGCUACUCAGGGCGCCGUCCGCCUCAGCAGAGGACCUUUGAUGACCCAGCGCUGAUUACAAUGAGCAGAGACACCUGUGGGACACCUGUCCUUCACAGCAAGACAAUUAUGUCCUACAUAAACUCACCAUGUUGUCCUCUGACUGCAACCCUCGAGGAUCAACAAGAAGUGGUUCAGAAGGACAUGUUGAAAGUUUUAAAGAGACAGAUCGGCGGCACGCUCAGCUUGACGGCUCAUCUGUUCAGGUCUGCAGGACUGAUUGGAUUUCCUCUCCGUCGCUACUUGACCUUUUUCCUCAGAUUCUCCAAUCAGCAGAAACAAUCCCCCCUCCACACACACACACACACACACACACACACACACACACACACACACACCCCUCUCUGUCUCCACUAACAGCUUCCAGUCCAGGAGGACAACCCGUCUUUGAAUCAGAUUCCCGUCGGCCAUCUUUGCUCCAAUUCCUUUAAAAUAAAAUCCUGAUUGGAGUCAUUCAG